GUCCGCCCCCACCUCCCUCUCACGCACGACCGUGGCUCUUCCGAGGCCUCAUAAUUAUUUCGUCUUCUCCUGUUCUCCUGCGACGCACGCCGCCACGCCGGGGCACCGCCAGAACUCCACACCCGGCGCCCUCCACGCCGGGGCGCGACGCUGGAGCCACGCCAGAGGGUUGCCAGGGGCUUGCGGCCGGGGCGCGUGGCUAGGGGCGCGCGGCCGGGGCGCCCCGACGCUCGACUAGCGCGCUUCUCUCCUCACCCCGACGGACAAACCCCAGGGCGGACAGUGCGGCGCACACGGAGCACGGCGGGCGUGGAGCACGCACCAGCACGGUGGACGCAGACCAUGCAGCGGCGAGGCGGCGCAGCGAACGCGGCUAGGGUUUUGCGGCAGCCGCCACGCUGGUUACGCACUGGGUCUGUGUCUUCCUCGGCGAGCGGGCUCGGCUCCCUCGACAGGUGAGCUCCCCGGCGGUGGAUGAGCUGGGCCCCCUACUUGCUUCCCUCGCCGUACUCCUCUACUGCCUCCAGUCCCUGUGCCAACGGUGGUCUGGGGUCCAGCACCCAGGCCCAGCACAUCGGUGCUGCCUCGACUAUCCAAUAGAGAUUCAAAGAUCCCUGCAGGUAGGAUGCGCCUAGCAGUUCCAGGUUCUGGCUGCGUUGAUUUUUUAAGGAGUGGUAUAGAUCAUUUGCAUUUCCUUCAUGACUAUUUUCAUUUAUGUUAAGAGGCUAUGCAGUAAGAAAGGCAUCCUUGGAAUCACUUGUUCCACUUUCUUGAGAUCACUCUUCUACAUAGGUUGGCUUGUGAAUCAUUCCUGAUUUAUAAUAACACAUGGUCUGAACUUAAUUUGUUGUUAUACAUGCAGUUGUUUUCCACAAGUCAUUGCGACUUACUAAUGGUAGUCGUAGGAAGCUUGCUUCUAGAAGGAUUACCAAUUUAAUUUCAACUAAUGUGGAGUCCCUUCAGGUAUACUGUUGGAGGAUGAUGGCAAGCUGUUGACCCAAGCAUUUAUCAUUUUCACUUUUUCCUUUUAACUUUGCACAAGAAGGAAAUGUUUUAUGUAGAAUAUUACAGCUUGCAUGUUUUGUAUUUGCAUUCCUAUAACUUUAGGAGAUUUAAUAUUCUUCCAAAUUGGAAGACCUUCAAUGUUUAGAGUUCAGAAGACUAUGUGUAGAAAAUUACAGCUUGCAUGCAUUUGCUUUAACCUUAAAAAUGAUUUAGGUUGCAACAACCCACAAAGAGUAUAUCUUAUCACUUAUAAAUUGAUAUUGAUAUUAUCGGUACCAUACACAGUUAUGUCUCCAUGUUGGACUUUUCCAUACUCUGACAUAACCUUCUUUAAGUGAUCCUUUAUAAGUUUGUUUUCUCCUAACAAUAUGAGAACAAGACAAGAUAAGUAGAUGUUCAUAUAUUUCAUAACGAAAAGAGCUUACAUAAAUCAAGUGUCAAUGCUUAGUCUAUAAUGGUCUUUCUUCCUAAAGCAGAAAAAGAAAAAAUGUUUGCUAUUGCAACCAGGAUUGUUCAGUUUUCUUCUUGAACUGGUAUGCUAAAAAUAAAUCUGAUAUGUGACUAGGGAUUCAUCAAUGUUACUGUCAUAUGAGUCAUUAUGUUCUGAUUGCAAGUGGAAAAAAUACCCACAGAAAUCAAAUAUGAAUUUUAAUGCAAGGGUUCUGCUAUUCAGUCCAACAAUAUCUGCUAAAUCAGUAGGCAAUAUUGAUAAGUAUAGAUUGAGCAUUAUAUUACAUGCAGUUAGCAUCGAGAUAAUUACUUUAUUGAGUUGUCAAUAAAAAACAUGUAUUUCUCCAUUCUUGAUUAUGCUGGUAAUACACUGACCGGGACUUAUGAAUCUGUAGCAGCACUUAAAAUCAUUUGCUUUGUCUUACAUACUUAUUUCAUUUGGCUGGGACUUCAGGCAAGCCUGUGGGCUAUUGGCAACGCCUUCUGGUAUGUGCUCCCUUUUGUCAAUAAUAAUGCAACUAUUUUUGGCUAUCUCGGAAAUUAAAUCGUGUUGUGUUUUUGAAUGGGCAUCUUAUUGUUUUGAAGUACUGGAUGAAGAAGAAACUAUUUAGCGCUUUUUCUCACCAUUCCAACAGUAUUUACUCAUAUUAAUGAAGGCUUAAAGCUUUUGAUAUUUUGGAGUGGUUAAGGAUGGACCAAAGGAAGGUUUUGCUAGCUAGGGAGUUAUGCGAUGACAUCAAAAGAAACACAAACCAAUUAUUUUUUCACAUUGUAUACUGAUUAAUUAUUUUGAUCUUGUUCUCUUUAUUAAUUCCCAAGAACUGAUAUAUGCAGUUAACUUAUGUACUACUAUGCUGUGGCUAUUUUCUCUUUUUUUUCAUAAGGUACCAUUGCAAAUAAGUUAGGCAAAGUAUUCAGUAGGAGCUGCAACUGUAUCUGGCUGCAAAUGGAUCAUAGCUUGUAUGCAUAGAUAUUUAUUUUUCUCUAGGCUGAUAACAUAGCUUGUAUGAGAUCAUUUCUCUAAUACUACUAACAGUUUUUGUUUUGGUUCUGAAAUAUUUUCUGUACUUAACUGAAUUAUGACUUUAUUUUUUGAUAUCCAUAGCUUGUAAGAGAUCAUUUCUCUAAUACUACUAACAGUUUUUGUUUUGGUUCUGAAAUAUUUUCUGUAGUUAACUGAAUUAUGACUUUAUUUUCUGAUAUCCAUUCAGGUGGACAGGUGGAAACAGUCAUGAGAAUACGGGAUCAUGCACAUUUUUUUGUUAAAAAUAUUUGUAGCACAAUUUAGUAUUUUAUUUAAGAAAAUGUUGCAUUUUCAUGUAAAUUUAAAGUGUCGAUUGGAAAUAUGAAAUGAUUUAAAGUGUCAAGGCUGAGUUGGGUUCA